rnacentral:rRNA from 1 species
UACGUAGGGUGCGAGCGUUGUCCGGAAUUAUUAGGGGCGUAAAGGCUCGUAGGCGGUUUGUCGCGUCGGGAGUGAAAACACCGGGCUUAACUCGGUGCUUGCUUUCGAUACGGGCAGACUAGAGGUAUGCAGGGGAGAACGGAAUUCCUGGUGUAGCGGUGAAAUGCGCAGAUAUCAGGAGGAACACCGGUGGCGAAGGCGGGUCUCUGGGCCGAUACUGACGCUGAGGAGCGAAAGCGUGGGGAGCGAACAGG